GAUGAACGCUGGCGGCGUGCCUAAUACAUGCAAGUCGAGCGAACAGAUGAGGGGCUUGCUCCUCUGACGUUAGCGGCGGACGGGUGAGUAACACGUGGAUAACCUACCUAUAAGACUGGGAUAACUUCGGGAAACCGGAGCUAAUACCGGAUAAUAUAUUGAACCGCAUGGUCCAAUAGUGAAAGACGGUUUUGCUGUCACUUAUAGAUGGAUCCGCGCCGCAUUAGCUAGUUGGUAAGGUAACGGCUUACCAAGGCAACGAUGCGUAGCCGACCUGAGAGGGUGAUCGGCCACACUGGAACUGAGACACGGUCCAGACUCCUACGGGAGGCAGCAGUAGGGAAUCUUCCGCAAUGGGCGAAAGCCUGACGGAGCAACGCCGCGUGAGUGAUGAAGGUCUUCGGAUCGUAAAACUCUGUUAUUAGGGAAGAACAAAUGUGUAAGUAACUAUGCACGUCUUGACGGUACCUAAUCAGAAAGCCACGGCUAACUACGUG
rnacentral:rRNA from 1 species